rnacentral:rRNA from 1 species
GACGAACGCUGGCGGCGUGCUUAACACAUGCAAGUCGAACGGUGAAGGGACCGGUUUUUGCUGGUUCUGGAUGAGUGGCGAACGGGUGAGUAACACGUGAGUAACCUGCCCCCUUCUUCUGGAUAACCGCAUGAAAGUGUGGCUAAUACGGGAUAUUCUGCGCCUGCUGCAUGGUGGGUGUGGGAAAGAUAUUGUUUCGGUGGGGGAUGGGCUCGCGGCCUAUCAGCUUGUUGGUGGGGUGAGGGCCUACCAAGGCGGUGACGGGUAGCCGGCCUGAGAGGGUGGACGGUCACACUGGGACUGAGACACGGCCCAGACUCCGACGGGAGGCAGCGGUGGGGAGUAUUGCACAAUGGGCGGAAGCCUGAUGCAGCGACGCCGCGUGAGGGAUGGAGGCCUUCGGGUUGUAAACCUCUUUCGCCAGUGAAGCAGGCCUGUCCCUUUUGUGGGUGGGUUGACGGUAGCUGGAUAAGAAGCGCCGGCUAACUACGUG